GCACACCCGCUGCCGCCGGCGGGCGGACACGCGCCCCUGCUCACCGCCAGGCGGCGCCCUGGCGCUGCAGCCGGCCCCGCUCUCUGCUGCCCCCUGGAGAGCGCGGAGCGGUACUGCGACCGACCGGCCCGCGCAUGCGCCGUGCGCCGCGUGUGUCUGGCCGCCCUCCGCCGCUCACGCGCAGCAGUGACCGCACCGGGACAGCAGGGGGCAGCAGAGACCGGGCGGAGGCGCUGCCCGUCCGAGCGCGCGCUGCCGAGCACGGCGGGGGUCUGCAGCCCCCGGCGGCACGGAGCGACGGCAGCGGACAGAGGCACGGUACGCUGACGGUGACCGAGCACCGGGACGGGGCGGCGAGCACAAACGUUACCUCACCCGCCACCGGAACACCGGUGAACUUGCCGGCGCCGAGCAGCCGUGCGCACGCCGGAGCCCGGAUGCUGUACUACGCACGCGGGAGACUGAUGACGGCAGUCCUGGCACCGGCGGACGAAACGUGCGUGCACCGUGCGGGCGUCUACCCUAGCAGGCCGUGAUCGAGAGCGGCAGAGCGCCGCAGGCUGUCGUGCACGUGCGUAGAGCCGGCUGCAGCACCGACGUGCACCCGAACGGGCGGCGCUAAGCGCCGCGACUCCCGGGAGCGCAACGUGAAAAACCGCGCCGCCUGCGUGCGCUGCUGCGCCAAAACCACGUGGUGGAAAGAGCGGACCAAUGGGAUGACGCGCCGCGCUCGCGACGGGACGGUCUGUAGUGGCGGAGCGCAAACGAGCGUGUACGCAUGCGUGCUCCGCGUGCCUGCAGCACCCACCUCCGCCCGCGCGAGGGCACCCACCCCCCCCCCCACGCACCCACACCCCCCCCAGCACGGCACCGCCCACGCGUGACGCACCGCGCUCCGAUCGCGCGAGGGCAGCCGUGAGCGCGUCCUGCUGCGGGGCCGCGGUGACGUUUCGCUCCCGAGAGCUCUGCUCCCCUCACACGUAGGAGCGCCCUCUGCCACCCCCGCGCCUCCUCCUGCCGCCGCUCCUGCGUGGAGUCCCGGGGACGGGCGGGUUCGUUCCACGGGGCUGAGAAACGGGCCCGAGCGCGACGAGACCGCACGGCCCACCUCACAGGCGCUGAGGAAGAGGCGGCGGGCGCAGGCGGUGCCGGUCGGUGGGCAGCGAAGCAGGGCAGCGGUGAGUACGGGGGCUGCAGCGCGCGGGAGUCGGCCACGUACGUCUUCGGGCAGCGUUCGGCGACGGGCAGCGAAGCUCACGGAGCAGAGCUUUAGCACAGAGCCCUCCGCGCGGUAACGUUCGUUCGCUCGGCGAACCUGUGGGAAGGAGCUUAAAGACUCUUGAAACGAUUCUCCCAAGAGAGACCAGCUCUGAGCAUCGCCAAACCGCCCGAAAAACGUGGUGAAGACCUCAAGGCAUGCCGCCGUGGUUCCAAUGAACCGUCAAAAGCUUCAGACACCCAAGAUGACCCCCUACACCAGCCCAAAUGUGGUAGCGAAGUGGUAGGAACUGCCCUGCAGACCCCUGAAGGAGCUCCCCCACACUGAGAACAGAGCUCAAAGGCAGGCAAGCUCUUACUUCGUUGACUUGCAGUUUCCACAGUUUUCCCCCGAAGGCUGGAGCCUCCUGAUCUUCUGGUUUACACUCCUCAUGCACCCGCCCUUGCUGGUGGAACGUGGAGAACUGAAGAAUCCCAGACUUGGAAGAAGUGUGCAACAUGCUCUAGGUGAUCCUAGAGUGAUUCCUGUGCGACCUGCUCGAGGUGAUCCUGCUCUAGCAGGGGGGUUGGACUAGAUGAUCUCCAGAGGUCCCUUCCAACCCUGACCAGUCUGUGAAUCUGUGAAAAACACUACCGAGACGUCAGUGUGAUAUCAAAAUACUUUCCCGUACUAAAAGACUAAACACAGCACUGUGCUAACUGUUAGGAAAACUACUAGGAAAAUUACUGAGAAAAAUACCUCUAUCGUGGCCUAAGGCUUCAGCAAAUCCAGCCACUCUUGCUAAGUAAAGCUAAGCAAACAGCACAAAUCACUCUCUAUUAUAUUCCUAAGCCAUUUUAUUCUAAUUAAAGCCUACUUAUUUACAUUAAACAACUAAUAUCCCUCAACCCAGAGUAACGUUUGCAGGGAGCACACUAGGUUGAGAGAAAUCAUGCCUUGCAGAGAAGCAAGGGACGACUCUCUGCUCCCCCCCGCCUCCGGCAGCCCCCGCUCAUCCAAUAAAACAUGGCUGUGCAGCGGUGCUGGGGGACGCAGAGCUGAUGCAGUCGUGAUGCAGGCAGCAAGGAGCACCCCAGCAUGGUCUGAGCAUCCUGGGAAGCGCAUCAGCCUCCCGCUGGGCCCGUGUUGGAGUCCGAAAGGCUGGAAGCCACCCGGCUGAGCCUCGCUCUUUGCCCUGAUGUAAUCUAACAUCGGCGUGAAGUCAAGGGCUAGCUUGUGCUUGUCUUGCUGCAAUGGGAGAAGGAAAUGCGGGGAGCGACCCGUCCUAUGCUGGGUCUCUGGGUGGUCUGUGCCUCAGCCCCAGCUGUGUCCGGCCACCCAUCCCGUUCUCCUGCAGCACGGGACGGGACCACGUGGGCACCGAGAGGCCGACUGCAAACGGUGAAGGGAGGUGCAGAGACAUCCGGAGUCGUGGGGGGUUGAGGGCAGGAUGGUGGGUGGAUUGAGGUUGCUGUGAGUACUGGAGCAUUGUUUGGGGGUGGACGUGUGCUGGCCCAUAUUGGGAAGGAACCGCAGACCAGAAUGGGAGAAGAAAAGCCGGGGAGGAUCAAAUGGGCCAUCCAGGCUAACCCCAAGCUGCCUGCAGCCAUUGCUGGGCGAUGUCAUCCUCCCCUUUCCCUAGCACCUUCUGGCAGGGUCAUCCUCAAUGGGCGGACAAGAGAAAUCUUGGUGACAAAGAGGAACGUGCUUGCCAUGGCCCUUGUCCACCACAAGCAAGGAAAAAUUUGCUCCAGGCUCCAGCAAGGUUUGACUUUGAGUGCUUUGUGCUCCCGGGCAUAAAGGUGAUCAACUAAACUAUAGUAUGUAGUGAUGUGAAUAUGGCCACUGAAGGAGGAAGGGGAAUCUCGGGAGACGGGAGUGUCUCUUGCUCUCCUGUCUCUCCCCAGGAGCACCUCUUAACAGAGAAAUGCCUAGGCUGGGUUUACACAGGGAUGUCCCAUCCGACCCCUUCCCACCCUCCCCUCCUUCCAGUGUCUCAUCUGUUCUGUGGGCUUCGUUAGCUAAAUUAAGAGGAGUCCCAGUAUCAAUGAACGCACGGUCCCUGACACAGCAGCACAAAACGCUGGUUAGAGUGGGGGUGUUGAUCUCUGUGUUACCUCGAUUCCAUCCACCCCGCUGCCCCCCCAACCAAAGAUGGCAAAGGGUCCGCAGGAACCCAACAGAUCCAGGGAGCGCUCCCUCCUGCCGUCCUUGGUGACCUCAGAGAUGCUGCGUAACCUCGUCUGCAGGACAGCUUGUGCAGGACAACUUUUACUGUGUGCAAACACCACUCCAGGAGCAUCUACACAAGUGAAGAGUAUAAAGCAGAAUCGUUAUCAGAUACAAACAAGAACUGUGAUUUAAUGAGCUAGCAGGAUAACCAGUAAUAUGCUCACUGCCCGUUUUCCCGAUGAAAUGCAAAGAAUUGCCGCUGCCCAGGCAGCUAUCGGUUAGAGAAGGAUUGGCUUCUGCUCCUGGUGUUUCUGAGACGCUAGCUGCCAAUUCCUCAAGUUUUCUUUCAAAAUUAUUGACGUUUUUACAAUUUUAAUGCUUUCUGUGGGUCCCUGUGGGUGGGUAACCACCAUGAACCCUCUUGCUCAAGUCCUUGCGGAACUACUACCCAGCCCCAUGUCAGGCUCACGCAUCUGUGCUUCCACAAUCUCGCACGGCUGUACAGUAUAACCUUCCUCACAGCUCUCUCCAACAACUUAGCAAUUUCCAGAGAAGUCUUGGGUGCAUGUAAUGAAACUAUCAAAACCAGGUCUUGAAUGAGACUGCAGCGAGACGAACCCUGCAGAGUGAGGGAAGAAGAUUACAAAUCUUACUUAAGGGUUAGAGCUCAAGAGUUGUGUCUUUCAGGAGUUUCUAAUUUACUUUAGCAAACCACAGACGCUAAACAGAAGAGUCUGAAUCCUAAAUGAUAAGGGAUGAUGCCUGAGACUACAGCGAUCGAUAAACCGUAAGCUCUCAAUCGCAGCGAUAUCCUGUAAGUCGUAAACUCCCGGCAAUAUACGGCAAGCACUGAAGGCGAAACCAUCAGCCCUGAGCAAUAACCACCACGUGCUGUUACAGCUGGUUUACGACUUUUUUUUUUUUCUUUUCUUUGAAGGGCGGUUGUGCAGACUGGUAGCUUCUGGCUGCAAAACGGUGUUUCUGAGAAGUCUCAUACACCAUUAACGUGUUGAACGUGUUUACAGUUCCAAAGACCUUCUCCCAUCCUGAAUAAAGGCACUGGACAGUGCUUCGGAUGACCAGGCUUAGGAAAAAAGGAGUCGAAACAAUGCCGAAUUACACAAGAGCUCAUAUUAACUCAACGGUUACGUUUAGCAUUCAGAAUCGGCAGACCGAUUGGUCAAAGGCAAGACAACUGACUGACCGAUAGCUAUUGGUGGUGUAAAUGGGUCCCGGGCAGAAUUGGGAGUAUAUUACCACAUCUAAGGGAGAAAAGACAUGAGAACAUUCCUACCUACAGGCAAUUCCUUAGCUGUAGCUAUUGCAAACAACGAUACGUGGUAUACGCAGAGAAGAACACUUAAGGAUACUUUACAUACUAGAAGGCAAUUCUCUUUAGGAGAAAAAAAAAACCCAAAACAUAACAGCUUUUAUGAUUUUAUGUAAGCUGACGCUUUCAACGUGAAGUUGGAACAGAAAAUAUCUGUGCCUUCACACGCAUCUUUGCAAUAGGUGAUAUCCCGAAUUCAAUCCAAUAAAAAAUCAGGUGAGGGGGUUUUUUAUGGGUAAGUAACUGUUGUGAUACCUUGUAGUAUAGGCUUAGGGAAAGCUCACAGUACUCCCGUAUUACCAGAGAUACAAAAAAAGGCAUUGUCAUAAACAUAAAAAUAAAAGCCAAGUUACGACCGAAUAACACGUCUGAUGAAAGACAAAGAAUUAAGAUAGACCCAGUAAUUUUCUGAUGGUUCUUUCCCUCAAAACAAUUACUUCAUUUUUCACAAAGCAGCAUCAUCUAGCCUCAACAGCUAAACUCGACAAGCAUUUUUGCCUCCUGGGGUUUUCCAGGGGUUAUUUUGACUACUGAUAAAGCCUGUAGUGUUAUGAAAUUAAGUUACGUUAAAUGAACAGAGAGCAUUAAUCUGGGCAAAUUACUUCCAACAAUUAGAAAACCAUGGCUCUGGCAAAGUCAGACAAUAGUUUCCAUUAGAGAACAGAAAAAUAAUGCCAUAUAUAACCUCCUUUCUCUUAGACCCUACAGCUCAAGGAAGGUUUUCGUUCUACUGGGAUACAAUUUAGAAAAUAUUUCCUGGAUCUCCGGUAGACUUGAUGCCUAGCCUUCCCUGUUAAGUUUUCCGAUCAUAGGAAAAUUCAGGUUGGAAAGGACCUAAGGAGGUCUCCAGGCUGCUGCUCGAAGCAGGGUCAGGAAUAAGGUCAGACCAAGUUACUCGGAGCUCGUGAAAAGGAAUUCAAGAAAGCAACCUCUAAAUGAAAACCAACGGGGAAAGUAUCCCUUCCCCCUUGAUUCCACCACCACCACUGCUUCAAAGACUGUAGAGAACUAACCUUAAAAGUACAUUUGCAGCAGUCAUUUGUCACCUGUAUUCAUUUAUCAAAUCCCUUGUAAAGGAAGUAAUAUGUAUUAAUGGGAGAACAGAGUUAACGUCUGGGGGAAAAAAAAAAGAAAUGCAGCUUGCUGUUAUUUGUGACAUUCAUUAAUCUAAUGCUGACAAAUUUGAAAAGUGAUAUUUUUUGUAUAAUUAUUUUUGUAAUGUCGCAGGUUUUUUUUUAAGAGAACCUGUUAAGACUGUGUUUAAAAAAGUUGCAAAAUAAAUUCUUAAGGGUGGGGAAAAUGUUAUGUCUUGUUGUAUUGAUUUGCUCAUAGCCAACCUCGGUUCUAAUGAUGGAGCUGAAAGAACCUUUUUUUCUCUCCCUGUCCAUAGCUGAUAAUCUAGUCCCUUUAUAUGGAAGUGAGAGAUGAGAUAUUAGUUAAUUAUAGUGACUUCCUGAAGUAUCGGAGCUCUAUGUUAAUGAGUCAUUACACAGUAUUAUAGUUCCUCUGACAGACAAAAACAAGCAAGCAAACAACCCAAACCCCUGAAAUCAAACAGGAAGGUUCCUACUCCCAUCUUGUACUACCUCCAGUUCUAGUCCGAAAGCAUUCCUUGUCCCCACCCCCUCAAGAUUGAGAAUUUGAAUUAGUCAGCUAGAAAAAUGCCAGUUUUCUUAUUGGAAAUGAAAUAAGACCAUAAGCCUGAGAAGUAGGAAAACAAAGAAUCUUCUUACAAGAGUACAGAGAUUGAUGCCAAGUGCAUGUUUAUGUAUCACUUCAAUUUCUGAAGAAUAUAAAUACCAGCUUACCAUAUAUUAGUCCCGUCACUUAAUCGAAGUUAUUUGCUUUCCAUCUGCACAGGUUGAGCUGUAUAUUCUAGAAUACAAAAGUUACUCUAUUGUGUGGUUUCAGCAGGCCGAUUCCCUGCUG